GACGAACGCUGGCGGCGUGCUUAACACAUGCAAGUCGAACGGUGAAGCGCCUUCCUUUUUGGUGGGUGUGGAUGGGUGGCGGACGGGUGAGUAACACGUGAGUAACCUGCCCCCUUCUUCUGGAUAACCGCAUGAAAGUGUGGCUAAUACGGGAUAUUCUGGGUCUGUCGCAUGAUGGGUCUUUGAAAGAUAUUGUUUCGGUGGGGGAUGGGCUCGCGGCCUAUCAGCUUGUUGGUGGGGUGAUGGCCUACCAAGGCGGUGACGGGUAGCCGGCCUGAGAGGGUCAGCGGUACCACUGGGACUGAGAGACGGACCAGACUCCUACGGGAGGCAGCGGUGGGGAAUAUUGCACGAGGGGAGCAAGCAUGAUGCAACGACGCGGGGGGAGGGAUGGAGGUCGUCGGGUUGUGAACCUCUUUCGCCAGUGAAGCAGGCCUGCCUCGUUUGUGGGUGGGUUGACGGUAGCUGGAUAAGAAGCGCCGGCUAACUACGUG
rnacentral:rRNA from 1 species